GCCCGCGCCCACCCCCCCACACACACCCUCUCUCCUCGUGCUUGUGGGUGAAUAUCAGCUCCUCUAGCGUUCACCACGCUCAGACUCUGAGGCAACACUGUGGCACCCAAACCAUCAUGGAGUAGUUCCUAAUUUUUCUUGGAUGGAUUGUGCAUCCUGCUUGGAGUGUAAGGAGACAGCAAUAGCGCGACCAUCAUCAACGUUACCGUGUUGGGAAAAUGGCCUCGGACAACUUGCAGCGCAGUUACUCCAUCAUACCAUGCUUCAUAUUCGUGGAGCUGGUCAUCAUGGCAGGCACGGUGAUGUUGGCUUACUACUUUGAGUGCACCGAUAUAUUUGGCAUCCACAUCCAGGGCUUCUUCUGCAAUGACACCGAACUCAUGAAGCCCUACCCUGGAGGCGAGGAGAACAGCUUCAUCCCUCCGCUCAUCCUCUACUGUGUGGUGGCUGCAGCUCCCACUGCCGUCAUCUUCAUUGGUGAGAUCUCCAUGUACAUGAUGAAAUCCACAAGAGAGGCUCUCAUUGCACAGGAGAAGAUGAUUGUUACUGGAGAAUGCUGCUACCUGAAUCCACUCAUUCGCAGGAUCAUCAGGUUUAUCGGCGUGUUCGCGUUUGGCCUGUUUGCGACAGACAUCUUUGUGAACGCUGGGCAGGUGGUGACGGGCAGCCUGGCACCGUAUUUCCUCACCGUCUGUCAGCCCAAUUACACAGGCACAGAGUGCCGCCUCAACCACCAGUUCAUCUCCAAUGGCAACAUCUGCACAGGGAACCGGGUGGUGGUGGAGCGAGCCAGGAGAUCCUUCCCGUCCAAAGACGCCUCACUUAGCGUCUACUCGGCCGUCUAUGUCACUAUGUACAUCACGAGCACGAUCAGGACGAAGAGCAGUCGUCUGGCAAAGCCUGUGCUGUGUUUAGGGACGCUGUGUGCUGCGUUCCUCACCGGACUGAAGCGGGUGUCCGAAUACCGUAAUCACUGCUCGGAUGUGGUUGCUGGCUUCAUCCUGGGAGCCUCCAUCGCUCUGUUUUUGGGACUGUGUGUGGUAAAUAACUUUAAAGGUGUUCACUCGACUCCUACCAAACGGAAGACGGAGGAAUAUCGUGGCCUCCCGCUCAUGACGUUCCCCCGUGUGGAGAGCCCACUGGAGACCCUCAGUGCACAGGGUCACAGGGAGCCUGGAGUCCACCUCAGGGAACUCUGGACACAAGGUGGGGGGCACCCUGGAGGGGGUGUCGUACCAUCACAGCACACAAUCGCAUAUGCAUUCACUGACGAUUUGGAAAUGCCAAUCAGCCUACAACACAUGUGUUUGGACUGGGAGAGGAAACUGGAGUACCCGGAGGAAACCCCUAAAGCACGAGGGAAACAUGCAAACUCUGGGCACACAGGGCAGAGGCUGGAUUAGAACCCCCAACCCCAGGAGGUGCGAGGCAAACGUGCAUUAAUAUUACAAUGGGCGUAUUAUGAGUAGGGUAUUGCAAAAUGCACAACAAAUAAUGUUGUGCUGCUUAAGUCUCAGCAUUCUGCUGUAGAUGGGAUGAGUGAUGUCAAUAUAUAAUAUUUGUAUUGUGAUAAAUAUGUAAGAAAUUAGACAUUUUGGGACAAACCACAAUACUCUAAAGUGCUUGAUUCUGAUUUGUUAGAUGGUGUUGAUUAAUUUUCUAUAACAGCAGCUCAGAAAGUAACUAUGGCUGUAAAACUGUAGCUAUUGUUUUUUUUAUAUUAGUGUUUUACUCAGGGAUUUGUAUGGUGGAUUUUUCAUUACAUUAACAGAAAACUUCACCAUUUCAACAACUACAGGUGUUUUUAAUGCGUUUAUGUGGCGUGUCAGCCAUACAAAUCUGUGAAGAUGUUACUACUAUGGAAACAAUAAUAUAUUAGAAUGAGGACAUUAACAUCAACCUUACAGCCAGAUCUACUCUCCGAGCUGUUGUUAUAGAAAAUUAAUCAAUACUUUCUGACCAAUCAGAAUCAAGAGUUCAGUAGCGUUGCAGUUUAAAUCACAAUAUAUGAUAUUAAUCAUGCUGCUGUAAAGCACAGCUACCCCAGUGUGUAUCUGCUAAAUUGCUAAACUACAGCAGUUUACAACACUCAUGGGGCCAUUUUUAUGAUCUACAACCAGGAAAUAUAAUCCUUCUUCUCUGAAUUGAUGCAGUAGAGGAAAUCCAAGCAGAUAGCUGUGCUGAGAGUGAGCGAGCAAAACAGCCACGCUGUUCUGACACAAAGUGAGAUUUCUUCGCACUUUUGUCAAAUGCUGAAGGACACAAGCUCAUCAUCCUUGCGCACUUUGGGACCAGCCGUUACGGGAAAUGCCCAGUGAAAUGAAAUUGGACAUGUGCGGUAAGCACUGUGUGGGACGGUCCACCAUGCUGUCAGUGGCUCUUAUCAGGACAAGCAAGAUGGAUGAAAUGUGUGAUUCAAGAAGAAAUGGGGAUGCAGACGACGACAUAUCGCUUUCUCUUCUCAUUACAUAUUCCUUUUCUUCUGAUUGAUGUUUUAUCAAGGAUAGAAGGAGAAUAACCAUUCAGCGUCCAUGACUGAAGUGACUUGACUACGGGGCCGACACAGAGUCACCUUCACUUCACCUCAACACUUCUAGGCACCAGAUGUUUUGUACUGUUGCAUACUGUAAAAAAAAAUAAAAUACUACCAAUAAUUAAAAAAAUCAAAGAAAAUAGUAUUAUGUUGGACCAAGUUAGAGGCAAAUGUUUUGUACAUUUUGUAAAACACAGUGCUGUAGCUUAUCCUUAUGUCCUAUGUUAUUUCUGACUCAACAUCAGGAGUACACCUUCCUCAUCAUGUUCUACAUCACAAAGUCAAAUCGAGUCUAUAUAUGAUGUUACUCAACUAUCAAUGUUAUGUGGUAUUUGUACAAAGAAUUAUUUUAUGCUUAUUUUUUUUCCAUGUCGAUUUUUUGACAAAGAUCAUCUUUUUUGUAUUAUUUUUAUCUGUAUAAAGCAUUCUUGAUCAACAUUGCCUGCUGUUUCUCCAGGAAUGUUUUUGGUAUUCUUAUUUUUUUGAUGUAAUAUAAAGAUACACAAUGAGUUGUGAAAAAGCAGUCCCCCCCCAGUGGCAUCUUUAAAAUGUCAUUACCACUGCAUGAAAGUACACAGACAUUUGAUGACAUGUUUCAUUCUUGUGUAUUGCUUUCCUUUUAAGGUUUCUUUUGAAAUGCCAAAUAUAUUUUUUGAUUUGUCUGUCAAAUAAAUAGUCUGUAGUUGAAA